rnacentral:rRNA from 1 species
GUGCCAGCCGCCGCGGUAAGACAGAGGGUGCAAACGUUGUUCGGAAUUACUGGGCGUAAAGCGCGUGUAGGCUGCCCAGCAAGUCGGAUGUGAAAGCCCUGGGCUUAACCUAGGAAGUGCAUUCGAAACUGCUGGGCUUGAGUUCUGGAGAGGAAGGCGGAAUUCUCGGUGUAGAGGUGAAAUUCGUAGAUAUCGAGAGGAACACCGGUGGCGAAGGCGGCCUUCUGGACAGUGACUGACGCUGAGACGCGAAAGCGUGGGGAGCAAACAGGAUUAGAUACCCGCGUAGUCC